GUGAGGAAUUUUCCGCAAUGGGCGAAAGCCUGACGGAGCAAUGUCGCGUGAAGGAUGAAGGCCUAUGGGUUGUAAACUUCUUUUCUCAGAAAAGAAUUAUGACGGUAUCUGAGGAAUAAGCAUCGGCUAACUCUGUGCCAGCAGCCGCGGUAAGACAGAGGAUGCAAGCGUUAUCCGGAAUGAUUGGGCGUAAAGCGUCUGUAGGUUGUUUAAAAAGUAUUCUGUCAAAGAUUAGGGCUUAACCCUAGAUAGGCAGAAUAAACUUUUAAGCUAGAGUUUGGUAGAGGCAGAGGGAAUUCCCGGUGGAGCGGUGAAAUGCGUAGAUAUCGGGAGGAACACCAAAGGCGAAGGCACUCUGCUGGGCCAAUACUAACACUGAGAGACGAAAGCGAGGGGAGCAAAUGGGAUUAGAUACCCCUGUAGUCC
rnacentral:rRNA from 1 species